rnacentral:sRNA from 1 species
GCCGGGUGCAGUGGCGCACACCUGUAAUCCCACUGACUCUGGAGGCUGAGACAAGAGGCUAUCAAGUUCAAGGCCAGCCUCAGCAAAUUAGCAAGUCCUCCACAAUUUAGGUAGACCCUGUCUCAA